UACGAAGGGGGCUAGCGUUGUUCGGAUUUACUGGGCGUAAAGCGCGUGUAGGCGGGUCGUUAAGUUGGGGGUGAAAUCCCGAGGCUCAACCUCGGAACUGCCUUCAAAACUGGCGACCUGGAGCAAGAUAGAGGCAAGUGGAAUUGCGAGUGUAGAGGUGAAAUUCGUAGAUAUUCGCAGGAACACCAGUGGCGAAGGCGACUUGCUGGAUCUUUGCUGACGCUGAGACGCGAAAGCGUGGGGAG
rnacentral:rRNA from 1 species